CAGCCGCCACGGUAAUACGUAGGGUGCGAGCGUUGUCCGGAAUUACUGGGCGUAAAGAGCUCGUAGGCGGUUUGUCGCGUCGUCUGUGAAAUUCUGCAGCUUAACUGUAGGCGUGCAGGCGAUACGGGCAGACUUGAGUACUACAGGGGAGACUGGAAUUCCUGGUGUAGCGGUGAAAUGCGCAGAUAUCAGGAGGAACACCGGUGGCGAAGGCGGGUCUCUGGGUAGUAACUGACGCUGAGGAGCGAAAGCGUGGGUAGCGAACAGGAUUAGAUACCCCUGUAGUCCCUGUCUCUUAUAC
rnacentral:rRNA from 1 species